GCGUUUACUUUGGCAGCACAUGUAUUAAAAUUGGAGCAAUACAAAGGAGAUUAGCAUGGCCCCAGCACAAGGAUGACACGCAAAUUCAUGUCAUAAAAAACAUUCCA